rnacentral:rRNA from 1 species
GAUGAACGCUGGCGGCGUGCCUAAUACAUGCAAGUCGAGCGAACAGACGAGGAGCUUGCUCCUCUGACGUUAGCGGCGGACGGGUGAGUAACACGUGGAUAACCUACCUAUAAGACUGGGAUAACUUCGGGAAACCGGAGCUAAUACCGGAUAAUAUAUUGAACCGCAUGGUUCAAUAGUGAAAGACGGUUUUGCUGUCACUUAUAGAUGGAUCCGCGCCGCAUUAGCUAGUUGGUAAGGUAACGGCUUACCAAGGCAACGAUGCGUAGCCGACCUGAGAGGGUGAUCGGCCACACUGGAACUGAGACACGGUCCAGACUCCUACGGGAGGCAGCAGUAGGGAAUCUUCCGCAAUGGGCGAAAGCCUGACGGAGCAACGCCGCGUGAGUGAUGAAGGUCUUCGGAUCGUAAAACUCUGUUAUUAGCGAAGAACAAAUGUGUAAGUAACUAUGCACGUCUUGACGGUACCUAAUCAGAAAGCCACGGCGAACUACGU